rnacentral:rRNA from 1 species
GAUUAACGCUGGCGGCGUGCAUAACACAUGCAAGUCGAACGAUGAAACUUAACUGAUUUCUUCGGAAUGAUUUUAAGUGGAUUAGUGCGGACGGGUGAGUAACGCGUGAGUAACCUGCCUUGGAGAAGGGGAUAGCCUUUGGAAACGAAGAAUAAUACCCUAUGAUAUGAUAAUAUCUCAUGAUAUUAUCAUCAAAGAUUUAUCGCUCUAAGAUGGACUUGCGUCUGAUUAGUUAGUUGGUGAGGUAACAGCUCACCAAGGCAGCGAUCAGUAGCCGGCUUGAGAGAGUGUACGGCCACAUUGGGACUGAGACACGGCCCAGACUCCUACGGGAGGCAGCAGUGGGGAAUUUUGCACAAUGGGGGAAACCCUGAUGCAGCGACGCCGCGUGAUUUAGAAGGCCUUCGGGUUGUAAAAAUCUUUUGUAUGGGAAGAAAAUGACAGUACCAUACGAAUAAGGACCGGCUAAUUACGUG